GAUGAACGCUGGCUACAGGCUUAACACAUGCAAGUCGAGGGGAAACGACGGGGAAGCUUGCUUCCCCGGGCGUCGACCGGCGCACGGGUGAGUAACGCGUAUCCAACCUGCCUCUGACUGAGGGAUAACCCGUCGAAAGUCGGCCUAAUACCUCAUGGCAUCGUCUGCGGGCAUCCAACGACGAUUAAAGAUUUCAUCGGUCAGAGAUGGGGAUGCGUCUGAUUAGCUUGUUGGCGGGGUAACGGCCCACCAAGGCGACGAUCAGUAGGGGUUCUGAGAGGAAGGUCCCCCACAUUGGAACUGAGACACGAUCCAAACUCCUACGGGAGGCAGCAGUGAGGAAUAUUGGUCAAUGGGCGAGAGCCUGAACCAGCCAAGUAGCGUGCAGGAUGACGGCCCUAUGGGUUGUAAACUGCUUUUAUGCGGGGAUAAAGUGAGGGACGUGUCCUUCAUUGCAGGUACCGCAUGAAUAAGAACCGGCUAAUUCCGUG
rnacentral:rRNA from 1 species